CCAGCCACACUGGAACUGAGACACGGUCCAGACUCCUACGGGAGGCAGCAGUGGGGAAUAUUGCACAAUGGGCGCAAGCCUGAUGCAGCGACGCCGCGUGCGGGAUGACGGCCUUCGGGUUGUAAACCGCUUUUGAUCGGGAGCAAGCCUUCGGGUGAGUGUACCUUUCGAAUAAGCACCGGCUAACUACGUGCCAGCAGCCGCGGUAAUACGUAGGGUGCAAGCGUUAUCCGGAAUUAUUGGGCGUAAAGGGCUCGUAGGCGGUUCGUCGCGUCCGGUGUGAAAGUCCAUCGCUUAACGGUGGAUCUGCGCCGGGUACGGGCGGGCUGGAGUGCGGUAGGGGAGACUGGAAUUCCCGGUGUAACGGUGGAAUGUGUAGAUAUCGGGAAGAACACCAAUGGCGAAGGCAGGUCUCUGGGCCGUUACUGACGCUGAGGAGCGAAAGCGUGGGGAGCGAACAGGAUUAGAUACCCUGGUAGUCCACGCCGUAAACGGUGGAUGCUGGAUGUGGGGCCCGUUCCACGGGUUCCGUGUCGGAGCUAACGCGUUAAGCAUCCCGCCUGGGGAGUACGGCCGCAAGGCUAAAACUCAAAGAAAUUGACGGGGGCCCGCACAAGCGGCGGAGCAUGCGGAUUAAUUCGAUGCAACGCGAAGAACCUUACCUGGGCUUGACAUGUUCCCGACAGCCGUAGAGAUAUGGCCUCCCUUCGGGGCGGGUUCACAGGUGGUGCAUGGUCGUCGUCAGCUCGUGUCGUGAGAUGUUGGGUUAAGUCCCGCAACGAGCGCAACCCUCGCCCUGUGUUGCCAGCACGUCAUGGUGGGAACUCACGGGGGACCGCCGGGGUCAACUCGGAGGAAGGUGGGGAUGACGUCAGAUCAUCAUGCCCCUUACGUCCAGGGCUUCACGCAUGCUACAAUGGCCGGUACAACGGGAUGCGACACGGCGACGUGGAGCGGAUCCCUGAAAACCGGUCUCAGUUCGGAUUGGAGUCUGCAACCCGACUCCAUGAAGGCGGAGUCGCUAGUAAUCGCGGAUCAGCAACGCCGCGGUGAAUGCGUUCCCGGGCCUUGUACACACCGCCCGUCAAGUCAUGAAAGUGGGUAGCACCCGAAGCCGGUGGCCUAACCCUUUGUGGAUGGAGCCGUCUAAGGUGAGACUCGUGAUUGGGACUAAGUCGUAACAAGGUAGCCGUACCGGAAGGUGCGGCUG
rnacentral:rRNA from 1 species